rnacentral:rRNA from 1 species
AGUGAACGCUGGCGGUAGGCCUAACACAUGCAAGUCGAACGGCAGCACAGUAAGAGCUUGCUCUUACGGGUGGCGAGUGGCGGACGGGUGAGGAAUACAUCGGAAUCUACUUUUUCGUGGGGGAUAACGUAGGGAAACUUACGCUAAUACCGCAUACGACCUACGGGUGAAAGCAGGGGAUCUUCGGACCUUGCGCGAUUGAAUGAGCCGAUGUCGGAUUAGCUAGUUGGCGGGGUAAAGGCCCACCAAGGCGACGAACCGUAGCUGGUCUGAGAGGAUGAUCAGCCACACUGGAACUGAGACACGGUCCAGACUACUACGGGAGGCAGCAGUGGGGAAUAUUGGACAAUGGGCGCAAGCCUGAUCCAGCCAUACCGCGUGGGUGAAGAAGGCCUUCGGGUUGUAAAGCCCUUUUGUUGGGAAAGAAAAGCAGCAGGUUAAUACCCCGCUGUUCUGACGGUACCCAAAGAAUAAGCACCGGCUAACUUCGUG